GUUCAUCCAGUUACUAAACAGGUGCCAGGCCAACAAGAAUCCGAUCCGUAUAUAAUACAUACCCUGAGGAUGCAACACGGCGCUUUCCCGCGGCCUCAGUCCACCCUUCCUUCGGCGGAAAAAAUAGACGAGAAAUGUGGGCGGCACACUACACUGCAGCUGGCUUCAUCGGGUUGCUUCGAUGCUCUUGUGGUCCACCUACCACAGUGUGGCAACACUAUAGGUCAAGCAGAUGAUAUGCUUUUCCUCGCACGCCUCGGCGAGCCGUAAUUUCCAACUUCCACGUCUUCGGUAAUGCUGUAUACUUCUACACAACAAGCACACGUGGGUGCUUCCUAAAUGUGGUCGUCGUAUAGGGUGGACUGUCUAUGCAAGGCGUCUCGGCCCGCUUGCGCAUUUCUCUUGCGAUUGUGCGCCGAUCUCUCUCCUCGUGUAACGUGCGAGCUGAAGUUUCGUGUUGUGCCCGGAUCUGCUACACAGAGAGUAGGUACAAGUCGACCGCCGUCGCUCGCUCUGCUGACCCGUAGGAUGUGAGCUCCCAAACGACGCUCUGCGGCGUUGCCUUAUUCCAGGGAUCGGUCCCUUCGACGAUGAUGCCUUCACAACUCUUUGGGAUAGAGAUAUCUCCGGGGUAAACGUGCAUGCGGUGCGUUCUACUUCAUCUAGCUGAAGCUUCUCCCGGAUGAUUCUGGAAGCCCCGCGGCACCGCGGUUGCCAGUGACAGGGAAGUUGCAGUUCUUGGAGGACUGACGCCAGGCGUUCCUUUUCCGUCACAUUGGCGUGUUUGCUCUGGCUUUUUCCCACGGGCCGACAAUAACCCUGCUCCUUCCAUGACGCACUCGUCUCUGUGACUGCACAGGAUCGUUCGCUGUUGCAUCUAGGUACCAUCAACUGACUGGUUCUUUCAUCAAAGGUGGUGGUCUCGUCAAGCCCGUGGUAGCCGUUGCUGGUUGAAAAAAACGAUGAUGCAGUUCGAUGCUGAACGCUACCGCUGUUUUCCCAGUUUUGGCCUGAAGAAUUCACUUCUGGUACCGGAUGGAGAAGUGAGUCUUCGUCCUUCCGAAAUGUCUUAAAUUCGAGGUCGGAGGACACUAAAGGCUUUUCCCAGGUACCGGGCAGGUGAGCGCAAGAACAUAUAGGGCCUCCAGCACGCGUUUGCGUGGUGCCAGGACAGUCGCGCGUUGCAUGAUGGCUAUGCAGUUCAGCUCCUUUCUCGCUCAAAAGGCAACCUACGGUGGACCAUUUUGAAC
rnacentral:lncRNA from 1 species